CAUAUAUACCCUUCCUUCAGUCACCUGCCUUCUUUACAUUUCAAAUUCCAACCCUGCUAUUGCUUUAGGGAAUCCAAAUUAUGAAAUUCACCUUUCAGGGUCCUCAAAGGACAGUAGUGACAGAUUUUCUAAUUAAUACAAUGUGAUCAUAAAAUUAGCUAACGACUACUUUGGAAGUGCAAAAGAGGAAUUCAUGACAUGAUAAAUGCAGAGUAACAUGCUCUCGACAUACCUGAAAAUAAAACGUAGAACAUCACUCUAACGCAGUGGCCUUUGUCGAUUCACGGAAUCCUUGGCGGAUGCUGAGCCCUAUGAAACUACCCCGAUUACAGCUAUGCAAAUCUAUAUUUCCAACCCACCAAUUGCUUCUGAAAUCAAGAAACAAGCGGUUGGUACAUUCGUCAAGAUGAAAGCAUCGCAUAGAGCGCAAUAGAUGAACGAAUGCAAACCAAGAACCAAGUGCUAUGAAGACCCAAAUGUCUCCCCUAGAGAUUUGUGAGAAAUGAUUACAAGAAACAGAUGAAA